CCUACGGGUGGCAGCAGUGAGGAAUAUUGGUCAAUGGACGCAAGCCUGAACCAGCCAUGCCGCGUGCAGGAAGACGGCUCUAUGAGUUGUAAACUGCUUUUGUACGAGGGUAAACGCAGAUACGCGUAUCUGUCUGAAAGUAUCGUACGAAUAAGGAACGGCUAACUCCGUGCCAGAAGCCGCGGGUAUACGGAGGAUUCAAGCGUUAUACGGAUUUAUUGGGGUUAAAGGGUGCGUAGGCGGUCGGAUGAGUUAGGGGUGAAAUCCGGGGGCUCAACUUCGGAAUUGCCUCUGAUACUGUUCGGCUAGAGAGUAGGUGCGGUAGGCGGAAUGUGUGGUGUAGCGGUGAAAUGCAUAGAGAUCAUACAGAACACCGAUUGCGAAGGCAGCUUGCCAGGCUACUUCUGACGUUGAGGCACGAAAGCGUGGGGAGCAAACAGGAUUAGAUACCCUAGUAGUC
rnacentral:rRNA from 1 species